rnacentral:lncRNA from 1 species
CGGCCCCCCCUCACGCCUGGGUCUGCCCCCAGCCCCCCGAGGAUGGCACCCACCCGCACGCAGCACCCAUCACCCACGGCUACGACAACUAUCCUGGCACAGAGCCAUGCCUGCCCGCCCCAGUGCUGUCCCACCCCUGGACACCCGUGUCUCCAGCAGAGCCCCAUCCCGCUGACAGCUCCAGCACCUCCUCGGGGGAGUGGUACGAGAACGUGCAGGACAAGGAGCCACCCGGGGACCCCUCCUCACACCCCGGCUGGCCAGGUCCCUCCUGUCCCUUGGGGGGACACGCACAGGAGCCCGACUCCUCCGACGGCAGCGAUUACGAUGACAUCCAGGGCUCUGCCUACUGAGGCUGCCCCAUGGACCACAGGGACGUGGCCAAGGGGGGGGACAUGGCACUGCCAACAUCUCUGGACUUUCCCAGCCACCUCCUCCGUGCCGGGGUGGGGGGACGUGUCCCGGUGUCACCCGGGGGGACACUCUGCACAGAUGAGCACUGCCAGGCUACGUGCUGUGAUUAAAAG